GGCUCCAUAACUAAGUUGGUUAGAGCGCCAGUCUAGUAAACUGGAGGUCGAGGGUACAAAUUCCACUGGAGCCU